rnacentral:lncRNA from 1 species
GAUAGCAUUGGAAAUGUAAUUGAGGAAAAUACGUAAUAAAAAAUAUUUAAAAAAAAGACAAAAAUAACAAAGAUAUAAUGAUAAUGGUAGUAAGGUUAGCACAUAUUAUGCAUGUUCUAGAAAUGUUAGUUUGCUUCUACUUACAGUGGCAAGUGCAAAGUUUAGUCAUCUAGAUUAAAAAACACAAGGGCUUAUUUAGCUAAGAAUGGGUUAUUGCUAGAUCAUUCUAACAGCUUUAUUAAUAUAUAGUUGUCAUCCGAUAAAAUUGUAUAUAUUUAAAGUUUUUACGGUAAUUUUAACAAAGGGGUUCCUCAUGAAAUCAACAUUAGACUUACCCAAACAAGAUAACUAUAACUAGGGCUUGGGCAUGAAGCUCAGUAAGAAAGCAUGCACUGCUUGCAUAAGGCCCAGGACCUGUCUUUUCCAUAACACAAGUAACAGAAAAGAAGAGCUGGGUUGUAGCUCAGUGGUAGAGUGCUUGCCUAGCAUGCUUGAGGGUCCGAGACUCAAUCCCUAAUACUGCAGCACAACUAAGCAACAAAAGCCUAUAGCCAGAUAGAUAAAAUAAUGAAUGGUAUGUCUUCCUCCCAAAGUUUCUUCAUGCCCCACCUUCUCUCCUUUCUCCUCAGAUAGGGCCUUCCUGUCCAACCCUGCACAAAUUCCCAUCUGCUCUUUAAUUUUUUAUUUUGUAGAGUUUUAUUUAAAUGGGAUUACAUAACACAUAACUGAAACUUUAUAGAGUUUUGCAUUUUCUUUUACUCAGCCUCAUUAUGUUGAAGCCCAUUUGUGUUGUCCUCUGGUGUCAGUGGUUGACUACUAGCCUGCUAGAGCACAGUUUUCCAUUCGUGUGUUGAUUAACACGUGGGUUGUUUGGGGCUGUUACAAGUGAAGCUGCUGCAGAGUGCUGGAACACUUCAUUUAGAGUGGUUAGGUACCUGGGAAUGGGAUGGCUGGAUCGUGUUGUAGUCGUAUAUUUAACAUUGAGAAACUGCCAGGCUAGGUGCAGGAGCUGAUGCCUAUAAUCUCAGCACUUGGGAGGUUGACUCAGGAGGAUUGCCUCAAGUUUGAAUCUACAUAAAUGAGUUAGUCUAGUCUGGGCUACAGAAUGAGAGAGACUUCGUCUCAACAACAAAACAACAAAAGAAACUGCCAAUCUCUUUUUUAUAGUUUAACAUUUCAGUAGUAGCAUGAGAGUGCCAGGUCCUCCAUAUAUGCAUAUAUGCAUUGACAUUGCUCUAUGUGACCAGACCUCUUUGUUUCAGCCUCUGUAGUGUGUGUGCUGGUCAUGUCUGACAGUCUGUGCUUAUUUCUUAUUUUUUUCUUUUUUCUUUUUUCGAG